rnacentral:rRNA from 1 species
AUGCAAGGAGAUAAAGUCUUACAAGAACAAAGUAAUCAAGAACUGCGAGUCCAUUUGCAUCAUAUAUCAAAAGAUCAUGCUAAUGGUGAGGGUGCGAAGACAAGUGUUGAGAUUGCUGCAGAGCCAUUAGAAGAACCGAUCGAAGUCUCUACAGAAGUAGCGCCGAAGAGGCAGCGAACAGGUGAUGCUAUUCUUUGCAUGCUUGGAGAUAUGAAGAAGGACUUAGUUGAUGCUUUCAAGACAACUGAGUCCAUUCCAUUACCAAAAGUUAUCACUCCCGCUGAAAAUACUUGA